AUGGACCAUGCAAGUGUGGUGCCCAGUAUAGCAUACCAUUUAUUGGAACAGAUGACAGAUGGGUUCUCCGAGGAUCGGGAACUUGGCAGAGGCACAUACGGAAAAGUCUAUCUGGGAUUGCGUGCGAAUGGGGAGAAGAUUGCUGUGAAGAUGCUUCAUCCCAUUCUAGGACUUGAUGAUGAGCUAUUUGAGAAGGAGAAUCACAACCUUGAAAUUCUCCAACACCAGAAUGUUGUGCGUUUAGUUGGCUAUUACAAUGAAACUCGGCGGGAGUAUGUGCCAUACAAUGGGAAAAUGGUUCUUGGUGAAGUGACACAUAGGGCGCUUUGCUUCGAGUAUAUGCAAAAUGGAAGCCUUAAUGAUUAUCUCUCUGAUGAGUCUAGUGGACAUGAUUGGCACACACGCUACGCAAUAAUAAAAGGAAUUUCCAAGGGUUUCAAAUACCUUCAUGAGGAAUUGGAACGUCCAAUGUUUCAUUUGGACUUAAAACCAGCCAAUGUAUUGCUGGAUGAGAACUGCGUGCCUAAAAUUGGCGAUUUUGGAUUGUCAAGGCUAAUCGAUGAACGAACGCGUAUCACUACAAGUUCUGUAGGCACAAUUGGGUACUUACCGCCGGAAUAUAUAAAUCAUCAUGUAAUUUCUAGUAAGUUGGACAUAUUCAGCUUUUGUGUUAUAAUCAUAAAGAUAAUGGCAGGACCCACGGGCUACUCAAAAAGUGCUGAACUAUCUUCCCAACAAUUCAUUGAGCUUGUACAUAGAAAUUGGAGGAAUAGGCUACAGUGA
rnacentral:rRNA from 1 species